ensembl:lncRNA LINC00881 long intergenic non-protein coding RNA 881
ACUACUAGUUGGAUGGCCUUAGUGAAGCAGUUAACCGCUCCAUGCCCUAGCUUUCUGGUCUGCAAAACGGAGAUAAAAAUAGGCUAGGGUCGUGGGAUUUAAAUGAGAUAAGGUGCACAUUGUUUAGCACAGUGCCUGCGCAUGGAAGGCUCUCAAAUAAAUAUUCGUGCAAUGUUUUGAGAAGUAGAAAGUGCUAGGCACGUAGGCGUUCAGGAGACAGUCACGGUACUCGUUUCCAGACAGAAGUCAUGAGGAACAAGAGGGAAGGUGCUUUCCCGUGUGCAGCGCUUGGGGAGACUCACACAGACAGAGGAUCUGGCAUGACAGGGAAAGGAGGAAAUGGCUUCUGUUAAUCUCUCCUUCAGCUUCUCCCGCCCUUCCCAUGCACUCUUCCUGUUUCCCUUUCCAGUUCUCACGGUGACUCAAGGUAGGUGGCUGCAGAGAGACAUUGGGACCUCUUACCAGGGAAAAUAUGUUCUGUAAUCUGGCAUAAUUUAAGUUUUAAGUCCCAUUUUAUCAUAGGGGUUCCCCUCCCCUUUACCUAGGUGUGAUAGGCACAAGAAAAAGGAAUGGAGUUAAGUGGAUAAGUGACUAAGGUGUCACAUUGGAGUAGUGUGGAUCAUAGAUCUCAGAGCUGAAGAUCAUCUAGGUGGACUCCCUCAUAUUAAAGAAGAAGCAGUGAAAAACUGUGAAAGGCAAAAUGACAUCAAGUUUCAGACUCAAGUUGGAGCCAUGGUGUUCUGUAGCACCAUAGUUCAUUCAUCCACUCAUACACACUACUCUGGGUGGAUAUCUGAUAUACUGCCAGGUACAAGGUUCUGCCUCAGUAGGCAGGGAAAGGGGAAAGGAAAUAGAAAUCCGGGAGGAUUCUCGGGUUCUUUGUGCAGCUUCAUGGAUGUUGAUACCAUUUACUGUGAUUGCAAGUAGAGGAACAGAAAUGGACCUGAGAGGAAGAUGGCAUGUUUUGAACAUGGGUUUGAGGUGGCUGUAGGACAUCCAGGUGGAGACCUCCAGGAAGAGUUAGGAACAUGAGUUCCAAGCACAGGAGAGAGGCCUGGAGGUGCCCACUGGGGAACAGUCAACUUAAAGAUGGUCACUGAAGCCAAGGCAGGGCUGGGAUGGCCCAGAAGAGCAGGCAGAAUGAAAAGACUAUGAAAGCAUGAAACCCAAACCUGACAGAUACCAGAUCCUAAGGAUCAAAUAAGAGAUCCUGAGGAACAGAUGGAGAAAUGGAAAGAAAACCAGAAAAAAGUGGCAUCAAGCAGUUCACAUCAAGACUCUCCAGGUUGAAGACGUAGUCAGGAGUGGGAAAUGCCACCGAGAUGUGAAGCAAAUGAGCACCGGAAUAUGUCUGUUGUAUUUGACAAUGAGGAAGUCAUUGAUUACUUGUGAGACAUUGGUUUUAGUGGGGAUGUGAGGGCAGAAACAAAAUCACACUAGGUUAGAAGCAAAAUGGAGUCAAAGAAGAGAAGAGGCAGGGGUAGUGGGUAUAAACCACUGCUUCAAGAGAGUUGGUUAGGCAGGGAGGGGGAAGUUACAGCUAAAAGGGGAGGCAGGGAGAGUUUCCUUUAUUCAUUGUCGUUUUGUUUUAUUUGUUGUGUUUUGUUUUUGCAACUAUGGGAAACUGGAACGAGCUUAUAGGAAAGGGGAAGCAGGAGGGGUCAGCAAGGAGAAAUAACUUGGAGUCUCAGUACAACCCCCAGCACCACCACAGGGUGAGUGACAGAAGAGGGGAUUCUGGCCCCAGAUAACCCAAAGGAAGGGAUCCUCUUCCUUGGUUAUUUUUUUUCUACCACUGGAAAGGAAGAAA